AGUAUGAAUGGCUAGACGAGGGCCUGGCUGUCUUUUUGUAAUAUAUUAAGAAAUUAUUUUCUAAGUGAAAAUUCUUAGGUGUGGCUGAGGGACGAUAAGACCCUAUCGAGCUUUAGUGUAGUUGUGGAGCUUAAGUUACAUUUUUGAAAUUAAGUUAUUUGUGGUGAAUCUUUGAUUGGGGCGAUCGAGAAGUAGGUAAAACCUUUUUAUGUGUUAUUUGUACUGGUGGGUGGUAGAUCUGACGUGAUGUAGAAAAUAGAGUAAGUUACCGUAGGGAUAACAGCGUAAUUUUUCUGGAGAGUUCCUAUUGAGAGAAGAGUUUGCGACCUCGAUGUUGGAUUAAGGUGUCCUGAAGGUGUAGCAGCUUUUGAGGGUUAGUCUGUUCGACUAUUAAAACCUUACA
rnacentral:rRNA from 1 species